CCUACGGGGGGCAGCAGUGGGGGAUAUUGCACAAUGGGGGAAACCCUGAUGCAGCGACGCCGCGUGGGCGAAGAAGUAUUUCGGUAUGUAAAGCCCUAUCAUCAGGGAAGAAGAAAUGACGGUACCUGAGUAAGAAGCACCGGCUAAAUACGUGCCAGCAGCCGCGGGAAUAUGUAUGGUGCAAGCGUUAUCCGGAUUUACUGGGUGGAAAGGGAGCGCAGGCGGCACGGCAAGCCUGAUGGGAAAGCCGGCGGCCCAACCGAGGGAGUGCAUUGGAAACUACCGGGCUGGAGUGCCGGAGAGGUAGGCGGAAGUGCGAGUGUAGCGGUGAAAUGCGUAGAUAUUAGGAGGAACACCAGUGGCGAAGGCGGCCUACUGGACAGUGACUGACGCUGAGGCUCGAAAGCGUGGGGAGCAAACAGGAUUAGAUACCCGGGUAGUC
rnacentral:rRNA from 1 species